rnacentral:rRNA from 1 species
GAUUAAGAACGCGCGAUGACGUACCAUCUCAUGUAGUACGUUUGACUUGGC